AAAGCUUUAAGUUAAUAAAACUAUUAACCUUCAAAGUUAAAAAUAUAAUUUAAUUUAUAAGCUUUA
rnacentral:tRNA from 1 species